UGGGCGGAAGCCUGAACCAGCCAAGUCGCGUGAGGGAAGACGGUCCUAUGGAUUGUAAACCUCUUUUGCAGGGGAGCAAGGCACGGUACGUGUACCGUGAAGGAGAGUACCCUGAAGAAAAAGCAUCGGCUAACUCCGUGCC
rnacentral:rRNA from 1 species